rnacentral:rRNA from 1 species
UGCCAGCCGCCGCGGUAAUACGAAGGGGGCGAGCGUUGUUCGGAAUUACUGGGCGUAAAGCGCGCGUAGGCGGACUAGUCAGUUAGAGGUGGAAUCCCAGGGCUCAACCCUGGAACUGCCUUUAAUACUGCUAGUCUUGAGUUCGAGAGAGGUGAGUGGAAUUCCGAGUGUAGAGGUGAAAUUCGUAGAUAUUCGGAGGAACACCAGUGGCGAAGGCGGCUCACUGGCUCGAUACUGACGCUGAGGUGCGAAAGCGUGGGGAGCAAACAGGAUUAGAUA